UUGUUCCUUUGCAGAAAAAUUGAAACUAACUAGAGGAGUUGCGUUCUGGCAUAUAUCGCAGUAAUUCGGAAAACGUUUUCCAAAAAACUAGCGAGCGGAAAACGUUUUCCGAACUGUUAAAAGUUCGGUUCGUAGUUUCCAAAGUCAACAUAGCAGGGGCAAAUUAGGAAGUUUGGGGGGUGUGCGAGAAAACGGGUAGGUGGGAUGAGAAAAUUUCUGCCAAUCCAAAAGUAAAAUCGUAAAUCGAACCAAACCAAACUGAAAACCGC
rnacentral:lncRNA from 1 species